rnacentral:rRNA from 1 species
AAAAACAUGUCCUUUUGUUUAUGAUUUAAGGUCUGACCUGCCCAAUGAUUAUUUGAAUGGCCGCAGUAUUUUGACUGUGCAAAGGUAGCAUAAUCAUUAGUUUUUUAAAUGGAAGCUGGUAUGAAUGGUUUGAUGAGAAAGUUACUGUCUCAAUUUAAUUGAUUUUGAAUUUUAAUUUUAAGUUAAAAAGCUUAAAUAUUUUAGAAAGACGAGAAGACCCUAUAGAGUUUUAUUUUUUAUUUAUAAUAAUUUUUAUUGGUUUUAUUAUUUUAUUUUAUUUAAAGAAUUUUGUUGGGGUGAUGUAAAAAUUUGGUUAACUUUUUAUUUAUUAAUACAUAUAUUUAUGAGUUUUUGAUCCUUUAUUAGAGAUUAUAAGAUUAAAUUACCUUAGGGAUAACAGCGUAAUUUCUUUGGAGAGUUCUUAUCGAUAAAGAAGUUUGCGACCUCGAUGU